rnacentral:rRNA from 1 species
AGCGAACGCUGGCGGCAGGCUUAACACAUGCAAGUCGAGCGGGCAUCCUUGUGGCGUCCGCGGCAGACGGGUGAGUAACGCGUGGGAACGUGCCCUUCGGUUCGGAAUAACUCAGGGAAACUUGAGCUAAUACCGGAUACGUGCGAGAGCAGAAAGGUUUAUCUGCCGAAGGAUCGGCCCGCGUCUGAUUAGCUAGUUGGUGAGGUUACGGCUCACCAAGGCGACGAUCAGUAGCUGGUCUGAGAGGAUGAUCAGCCACACUGGGACUGAGACACGGCCCAGACUCCUACGGGAGGCAGCAGUGGGGAAUAUUGGACAAUGGGGGCAACCCUGAUCCAGCCAUGCCGCGUGAGUGAUGACGGCCUUAGGGUUGUAAAGCUCCUUUCUCCGGGACGAUAAUGACGGUACCGGAGGAAUAAGCCCCGGCUAACUUCGUG